UGGCGAGUAGUGUAACUGGAAACACGCCGCGCUCUGAACGCGGAAACUCAAGGUUCGAAGCCUUGCUCGCCAGCCA
rnacentral:tRNA from 1 species